UAUUGGUGGAAUGUGGAGAUCGCCGGU
rnacentral:sRNA from 1 species